rnacentral:rRNA from 1 species
CGGAUUGUAGUCUGCAACCCGACUACAUGAAGCUGGAAUCGCUAGUAAUCGCGGAUCAGAAUGCCGCGGUGAAUACGUUCCCGGGUCUUGUACACACCGCCCGUCACACCAUGGGAGUCGGAAAUGCCCGAAGUCUGUGACCCAACCUUAGGGAGGGAGCAGCCGAAGGCAGGUCGGAUGACUGGGGUGAAGUCGUAACAAGGUACC